rnacentral:lncRNA from 1 species
GCAAAUCCUCAGAAGUUUGUUUCCUUUUUUCAGUUCAAACAUGAAUUUAUGAGAAAGACACAUUGUAUGUCCCCCACCUCUGCCUGUCCAGAGCCAUUUAUUUCAAAGCAAGAAGGAUUUUUUGCUCUGAAGUGGAAGUUUAAAAGGAAAUUAUCAGGAUGUUUCUGGUAUCACAUUUCUCAUGGAAAUCAGACACGUGGUCAGGAGUGGGGCACGCUGAACCUGACAGUGCUUGAUAAGGCAGAGGGAUGCUCCAGGGGGAGUAACUGGAGAAGAGGCUUGUCACAGACAUCUCCAGCCAUAUUCCCCUGUGGCCUUGGCUUCCCUUCAGCCUUUACCUCUGCAAAGCAAGUUGGAUUGAAGCCACUGGGACUGGAUGCAUGGAGCUGGCAGUCUUGUGCUGCCCACUGCAGUGAUAGAUACCCAUAAUGUCGAUGAUGGAGAAGAGACCAGCCACUCAUCCUUGCCUUGAAAAGCCUGCUGUUGCCAGACAAGGACCAAGGCUCACACCCCACCUUCUGUGCCAUCAGUAACUUCUCCUGAUGUUAAAAUUGUGUUGUCUCUCUUAAUAAUAA